CCUACGGGCGGCAGCAGUGGGGGAUAUUGCACAAUGGGGGGAACCCUGAUGCAGCGACGCCGCGUGAGCGAUGGAGUUCUUCGGUAUGUAAAGCCCUGUCAGCAGGGAAGAAAAGGACGGUACCUGACCAAGAAGCCGCGGAGAAAGACGUGCAAGCCGCCGCGGUAAUACGGAUGGGGCAAGGGUUCUCCGGAUUUACUGGGGGUAACGGGAGCGUAGGCGGCAGGGAAAGCCUGAUGGGAAAGCCCGGGGCUCCACCCCGGGACGGCAUUGGGAACUGCCCUGCUGGAGUGCCGGAGGGGCAGGCGGCAUUCCUCGUGUAGCGGUGCAAUGCGUAGAUAUUAGGCGGAACUCCAGUGGCGACGGCGGCCUGCUGGACGGUGACUGACGCUGAGGCUCGAAAGCGUGGGUAGCAAACAGGAUUAGCUACCCUUGUAGUC
rnacentral:rRNA from 1 species